rnacentral:rRNA from 1 species
CCUAUGGGGGGCAGCAGUGAGGAAUAUUGGUCAAUGGGCGCGAGCCUGAACCAGCCAAGUAGCGUGAAGGAUGACUGCCCUACGGGUUGUAAACUUCUUUUAUAAAGGAAUAAAGUGAGGCACGUUUGCCUUUUUGUAUGUACUUUAUGAAUAAGGAUCGGCUAACUCCGUGCCAGCAGCCGCGGUAAUACGGAGGAUCCGAGCGUUAUCCGGAUUUAUUGGGUUUAAAGGGAGCGUAGAUGGGUUGUUAAGUCAGUUGUGAAAGUUUGCGGCUCAACCGUAAAAUUGCAAUUGAUACUGGCAGUCUUGAGUACAGUUGAGGUAGGCGGAAUUCGUGGUGUAGCGGUGAAAUGCUUAGAUAUCACGAAGAACUCCGAUUGCGAAGGCAGCUUACGAAACUGCCACUGACAUUGAUGCUCGAAAGUGUGGGUAUCAAACAGGAUUAGAUACCCUUGUAGUC